rnacentral:rRNA from 1 species
UACAGAGGUCUCAAGCGUUGUUCGGAUUCAUUGGGCGUAAAGGGCGCGUAGGCUGCGGGGCAAGUCGGGUGUGAAAUCUCAGAGCUCAACUCUGAAACUGCACUCGAUACUGCUUUGCUUGAGGACUGGAGAGGAGAUUGGAAUUCACGGUGUAGCAGUGAAAUGCGUAGAUAUCGUGAGGAAGACCAGUGGCGAAGGCGGAUCUCUGGGCCGUAACUGACGCUGAGGAGCGAAAGCGUGGGGAGCGAACAGG